rnacentral:rRNA from 1 species
GACGAACGCUGGCGGCGUGCCUAAUACAUGCAAGUAGGACGCAGUUGCGAACGGGUGAGUAACGCGUAGGUAACUGCCUAGUAGAGGGGGAUAACUAUUGGAAACGAUAGCUAAUACCGCAUACUAGUAGAUGGACCUGCGUUGUAUUUGCUAGUAGGUAGGGUAAUGGGCUACCUAGGCCAAGGUACAUAGCCGACCGUGGAUGGUGGUCUGCCAAACUGGGACUGAGGAACGGCCCAGACUCCUACGGGAGGCAGCAGUAGGGAAUCUUUGGGAAUGGGGGGAACGCUGACCGAGCAACGCCGCGGGAGUGAAGAAGGUUUUCGGAUCGUAAAGCUCUGUUGUUAAGGAAGCGGUACUUAACCAGAAAGGGACGGCUAACUACGUGCCAGCAGCCGCGGUAAUAC